rnacentral:rRNA from 1 species
GACGAACGCUGGCGGCGUGCCUAAUACAUGCAAGUCGAACGCUUCUUUCCUCCCGAGUGCUUGCACUCAAUUGGAAAGAGGAGUGGCGGACGGGUGAGUAACACGUGGGUAACCUACCCAUCAGAGGGGGAUAACACUUGGAAACAGGUGCUAAUACCGCAUAACAGUUUAUGCCGCAUGGCAUAAGAGUGAUAGGCGCUUUCGGGUGUCGCUGAUGGAUGGACCCGCGGUGCAUUAGCUAGUUGGUGAGGUAACGGCUCACCAAGGCCACGAUGCAUAGCCGACCUGAGAGGGUGAUCGGACACACUGGGACUGAGACACGGCCCAGACUCCUACGGGAGGCAGCAGUAGGGAAUCUUCGGCAAUGGACGAAAGUCUGACCGAGCAACGCCGCGUGAGUGAAGAAGGUUUUCGGAUCGUAAAACUCUGUUGUUAGAGAAGAACAAGGGCGUUAGUAACUGAACGUCCCCUGACGGUAUCUAACCAGAAAGCCACGGCUAACUACGUG